GAGCCACAACCCAGCCCCCAGAGAACUUCAAUUCUUAACCUUGAUAUUAUACUUUUCUGACUCCUCUCAGCUUUACAAACUGGGAUUCUUAGACCCAUUUUACAAGUGCAGAAAAACUUGGAGGGGUUACAUAGUGAGUAAGGUCAUAGAGUAAAUGACAUGGCCAAGAUUCAAAUCCAAAUCUGUCUCACUCCUUGUUUGUACCACUAGGCUGGCAGCCUCCCCAGUGGGAACUUCCUAAGACUUUCUCCCCCUAGCAAUUUGGCUCUCUACGAAAUAUUACUAUACGGAACCCAAAUAGGGCAUUAAAUUUCUAGUAAUUGAGGUAUUGCUUCUGCCAAUGCCCAUGAACAUUCUGAGAACUGAUCUGUUUCUUUAUAGGAAAAAGUUGGAUGUUUCAUGGCAAAGAAUUAAAUUGGCCCUCAUUCAAAAUCUGCCCUGUUAAUGUGAUAUAGCAAGAAGUACCCUAACCUGAGAUAAGAAAUUUAGGUUCUUAUCCCAACUCUGCCACUAACUUGCCAUGUAAUCACAGGCAAGGUAUUUAUAUAUUCCAGAUUCAGUUUCCUCUUCCAUAAAAUAGGGAUAAUAAUUCCAAUCUUGUUUUCCUCACUAGAUUGUUAUAAAUAUCAAAUGAGAUGAUAUUGGAAAGCAUUUAUUUAUUCAUUGAGUGGUUGGUUAUCAUAUUACUAUUGUUUAGUAAUAUGAGGGUAUUUGCCACCAAAAGCUCACUAUCUGUUAAUGUUUGUUGAGAUUCACUUUAGCUCCUGCUCUAGGACUUACAGUUGAGCUCCAGCUGACAUUUGGGCCCACAUCUUAGGCACUGUAAGACCAGAAAAUAAUUAAAGAUCUACACAGGAGAUGCUUGUGUCUGAAUUUAUUUCCUGGUUUGAAAGAACUGAUGCAGGUUUGAAAGGUGCCUAUUGAAAAACAGAAAACACAGGCCAGAUUUGUUCAAUCACUAGAGAUUUCUCCAAAAUUCUGAGACACUGGUAUUUCAGUGGUUUCCCAACCAUUCUUACCUGAACAGAUUUUAAGAAGCAUCUCUUUCCCCACCUGAAAAAUGAGGGGAGUAGAUUAAAUUAGUGUUUUCCAAAGAAUGCUCCAG
rnacentral:lncRNA from 1 species